CGCAAGGUUGCACGCAGCGGAAGGGUAAAGGGGCGCGCCGGCAGGUUGGGGCUCCAGAGGUGCUCCAGACAGCAGGCAGUCCAGUCGCUCAAUACUCUGCUCCCGCUGUUGUUUCCUGCUUGCUUGGUCACGAUGCCCGAUCCCUGUUGCGAAGGAAAGUGCAAGUGCGGAGACGCCAACUGCUGCGCGGACGGCAAGAAGUGCGCGGAGGACGCCAAGAAGUGCAAGUGUGCCGCGUCCAGCGACAUGUCCUGCGCUGCAUCCUGCAAGUGCCGCAGCGCAGAAGGCGAAUGCUCGUGUGGGGAUAAUUGCUCUUGCUAACCACCGCACCGUGCUGUCAGGCCGACCUUUGCUGACAACAGGAAGCUGUAGUCAGCAUCAUGGAUCUGCUGUACAUUGCGUCUGAGCAGGUUGAUUGAUGGCUGUUGCUCAGUCCAAAGGGCUUGCUGCUUUUUGUUUUUGUUUUUUUUUGCUUUUUUUUUUGCCAAUGAUCAAAGUUCCCAAGUUUCACGAAUCAAUUUGCAUUAUUAAACAUAUAUAUAUAUAUAUAUAUAUAUAUAUAUAUAUAUAUAU
rnacentral:lncRNA from 1 species